rnacentral:lncRNA from 1 species
AUAAGAUUCCAGGUUUACUUUAUAUUUUGAAACAAAAUGGAAGACAUUGUUCCAGCCCUGGGAAAUCAACGGUCUGUAGAAAAGCCGCUCACCUCCUCCGUCUCAUCUGGCCGGGGCGGCCGCACUGCUGGCUGCAGCUCUUCCGCUCUGACCACGGAGGUGCCGGAGGAUGCCCGCUCACCAGCCCUCCAUCGAUAAGAUGAAGGGGCAUUUCUGCUUCUUUUUUUUGUUCUGUGGGAUAUUUUUGCCCAGAAUCCUUGGUUUCCCACAAACAAGUANNNNNNNNNNNNCAUACAUUAUUGCUGUAUCUUUUGAUAGCUUUGAACCAGGAAAUGAAAUCCAAGUGACUUUAGAAGCCCUUAAAGAGGCCAGCUUUAAAGGAUUUCAUCUACAAGCUCGAGAAGUGGAAGGAGAUGUUCCUGUUGGUACUUUUAAAAUUACAGAUCAAAACACAAAAGGCUUGGAUUGUCAUAACGUGACGAAUUCAGCUGUAAGUCAUGCAAAUUCAGAUGCGAAACAGAAAGUUACAACAACGUGGAUUGCACCACAUGAUAUUAGAGAUCUUCAGUUUAUCGCAACUGUUGUUCAAGAUCUAGAGAAAUUUUGGGUCGGAGUUCAAAGCAAAACCCUCACACCUACACAUUCUGAGUCAGUUAAUGGGACAGGAAGAAGUAAGAGGAAGAUUAUGAUAGAAAUAGAAUGUGCCAAGCGUGGAGGGACUUACACACCACAAAGUGGAUGCGUCCUAGUUGGACCCUCCGGUUCCUCUCGGAACAGCUAUACAAGUGGUCAGGUAAGAAUGCUAACUUCCAGCAUUUGUAAAUUUUCCUUUAGUAAACUUGAACAACUAAAAUUCUAU